GUUGUUUCAUUUUGUUCAAAAAAAGAUGGAUGGUUAUUUUGGUCAACUUGUGUUCAUGCAAUGAAAGCUACCUAAAAUAAUUUUUCAAUCAUUGACUCCUGCAACAAACUUAGACUUAAAAGAGUUAAAGUAACUGGAGAUAAAGAAGUAUGUGCAGGAUUUAAUUUCACGACUAAAGAGGACUCCGAAGUAAAGUUCUGAUGGAUCAAAGAUCGAGGAAUGAUUUGGUUUUAACUGGUUUGCAUCUUAUGAACGAAGUACAUAAUAUGAUUUAAAUUGAUGAUUUAUAGUUACACCUAUUGAAGUUCUGUAUCUCAAUGAUAUCCUGGCUUAUCGAUACGAUAUCCUGUAAAUCCACUCACACACAUAAAUUUUACUCACACACGUAAAUCAUGUAUAUUCACUCACUCACAUAAAUCUUAAAACAGAUGUUUAUAUUUUUUAUCUAUAAAUUGUAAAUUUUAUAUAAAUAAAUUGUAUAUUUUUUUUGUU